rnacentral:pre_miRNA from 1 species
UCUUAUGGAUGAGCAAAGAAAGUGGUUUCUUAAAAUGUAAUCUGCUCCUGGUGAAGAUGCUGUGAA